GAAGGUCCCGGCGUUAUCCGGAUUUAUUGGGUUUAAANGGAGNGUNGGNUNNUNAUUAAGCGUGUUGUNNCCCCCCCCCGCNNAAAUAGCAAUGCAGCGCGAACUGGUUUCCUUGAGUACGCACAAAGUGGGCCCACNNCCCNNGUGUAGCGGUGAAAUGCUUAGAUAUCACGAAGAACUCCGAUUGCGAAGGCAGCUCACUGGAGCGCAACUGACGCUGAAGCUCGAAAGUGCGGGUAUCGAACAGGAUUAGAUACCCUGGUAGUCCGCACGGUAAACGAUGGAUGCCCGCUGUUGGUCUGAAUAGGUCAGCGGCCAAGCGAAAGCAUUAAGCAUCCCACCUGGGGAGU
rnacentral:rRNA from 1 species